GGGAGCGCCUCCCAUGAUGCCCCGCGUCGUGCCCGCUCUUUCUGUCUGCUGCCACUAUGUCCAUGAAGGGACGCUUCCCAAUUCGCCGCACGCUGCAGUAUCUGGGGCAGGGCAGCGUGGUUUUCAAGGACUCGGUGAAGGUCAUGACGGUGAACUACAACACGCACGGGGAGCUGAGCGAGGGCGCCAGGAAGUUCGUGUUUUUCAACGUCCCCCAGAUCCAGUACAAGAACCCCUGGGUGCAGAUCAUGAUGUUCAAGAACAUGACCCCGUCUCCCUUCUUGCGCUUCUACCUGGAUUCUGGGGAGCAGGUCUUAGUGGACAUGGAGACCAAGAGCAGCGGGGAGAUCGUGGAGCACGUCCGCAGGAUCCUGGGGAAGAGCGAGGAGACGCUGCAGAAGGAAGAGCAGGAGAGGCAGCGGCUGUCCCACCCGGCCAACUUUGGGCCCCGGAAGUACUGCCUGCGGGAGUGCAUGUGUGAGGUGGAGGGCCAGGUGCCGUGCCCGGGCCUAGUGCCCCUGCCCAAGGAGAUGACGGGCAAGGGCAGGGCCGCCCUGAGAGCCAGUGCCCAGGACUGAGGUGCCGUGGGGAGAUGGCCCCUACGAGCAAGGAUGCUGCGUGUGAGGACCGUGUCUGAGGACCCUGCGUGGGAGGAUAUGCAGGCUGCUGCGUGGACGGACGCCCCUGCCCUGUCAAUAAAGACUCCGAUGUUUUGUUUUCCACAGUGAGCACAUUAUUUUCGGAAGACAGCGUACAUCUGAACUGUGCAUGCAGCGUGAUCCAUCCUGCGGAGAGGGCACCCCGGUCUCAGGGGCAGCCAGGCGGCAGGCUCUGGAGUGGCAGGGCUGACCUGGGAGGGGUUCCUGGAGGUGGCUGACCAUCAGCAUUGUGUGGAGCGGUUCUGGGAGGGCUCGGGAGGACAAUCUGAGGGAAGAAAGGGCCCUGGGCAGGACAGCCUGGCCCAAGAGCAUACUGGAGCCGGCACUCCCUCCAGGGCCUUUUCUCAGUGAACUGUCUAAAUGGGUCUCUCUGGGUCUUCUUAGAAAGUCCAGAUCACUUGUCACCUCCCAGAUGCCCAGCUGCCUCAGGAGUGGCUGAGGAUUUCUUAGAACCAGCCUAUCCAUUUUCCAAGGCCACUGGGUAGUGACCUAAAGAGCCCCUGAGCAUGAGGUGCUCCUGGACUAGAGCUAGUGGGUGGUGGCCGUGCAGAAGUCACGGCGGAGAGGCUGCUGCCCCUGGCGUGCCUACCCAGAGACCCCAUCACAUGGAGAGCCACUGGGGACUGUCCUGCAUCAGUCGGGCCCGCAGAGCAGGCUUGCUCUGGGCUAUGUGGCGAGCCUGGCCCGGCGGUAUGUCUCUGUGGACUGAGUUUUAUUUGGGGGCCAGGGCAGGAAGGGAAGCAGGAAAUGAGCCACAUGUAAGGCGGCAGUGGCAGGGACUUGCUCUCUGUAGCCCCCGGUGCUGUGCCUAUUUAUAUGUAGUCUCGCUGCCUGCUGUUACAGACAAUACCUGUAAUUACCUUUCACCCAAAUAAAGGAACUUUUGAGACCGGUU